rnacentral:tRNA from 1 species
GGUGGUAUAGCUCAGUGGUAGGGCACUUGCCUGGCAUGCAGGAAGCCCUGGGUCUAAUCCCAAGCACUUCAA